CAACUUUCACCGAUGGAGGUCUCGGCUCGGACAACAAUAAAAGGGGCACCGAAAUGUGAUAACCUUUGUGAAUUGCAAAAAUCCCUGAAUCAAUAAAGCUUUUAACGUGUUUUGUGCUUUUGGGAUAUACCCGAAAGCAUGCCCGCUUUGGGGUCUA
rnacentral:rRNA from 1 species